rnacentral:tRNA from 1 species
GGCGCAGAAAGUGAGGAAAUCGCAAUAACCAGGUGUCGUUAAAGCGAGGAUAGAUUGCGGUAACUGGAAGCUUUGCAGGCUUCUGAUUGUGGGUUCAAAUCCCACCCAGCGCCG